ACGGAGGGUGCGAGCGUUUAUCGGAAUUACUGGGCGUAAAGCGUGCGUAGGCGGAUGCUUGAGUCGGAUGUGAAAGCCCCGGGCUCAACCUGGGAAUGGCAUUCGAUACUGGGCAUCUAGAGUGUGGUAGAGGGGGGUAGAAUUCCUGGUGUAGCGGUGAAAUGCGUAGAUAUCAGGAGGAAUACCGGUGGCGAAGGCGACCCCCUGGACCAACACUGACGCUGAGGUACGAAAGCGUGGGUAGCAAACAGGAUUAGAUACCCUGGUAGUCCACGCCGUAAACGAUGUCAACUAGUCGUCGGGGACUUCGGUCUUUGGUGGCGCAGCUAACGCGUGAAGUUGACCGCCUGGGGAGUACGGCCGCAAGGUUA
rnacentral:rRNA from 1 species